AUUGAACGCUGGCGGCAUGCCUUACACAUGCAAGUCGAACGGCAGCACGGGGGCAACCCUGGUGGCGAGUGGCGAACGGGUGAGUAACGUAUCGGAACGUGCCCAGUAGUGGGGGAUAACCAGUCGAAAGACUGGCUAAUACCGCAUACGACCUAAGGGUGAAAGCGGGGGACCGUAAGGCCUCGCGCUAUUGGAGCGGCCGAUGUCUGAUUAGCUAGUUGGUGAGGUAAAGGCGCACCAAGGCGACGAUCAGUAGCUGGUCUGAGAGGAUGACCAGCCACACUGGGACUGAGACACGGCCCAGACUCCUACGGGAGGCAGCAGUGGGGAAUUUUGGACAAUGGGCGCAAGCCUGAUCCAGCCAUGCCGCGUGCGGGAAGAAGGCCUUCGGGUUGUAAACCGCUUUUGGCAGGAACGAAACGGCAUCCCCUAAUACGGGGUGUUAAUGACGGUACCUGCAGAAUAAGCACCGGCUAACUACGUGCCAGCCGCCGCCGUAA
rnacentral:rRNA from 1 species